rnacentral:tRNA from 1 species
UGUUCCUGUGGUCUAAAUGGUGAGGACAUCGCCUUUUCAAGGCGGGGGAGCGGGUUCAAUUCCCGCCAGGAAUAA